rfam:Staphylococcus simiae CCM 7213 contig00324, whole genome shotgun sequence.
UCUGGUGAUUAUGGCAAAGAGGUCACACCUGUUCCCAUGCCGAACACAGAAGUUAAGCUCUUUAGCGCUGAUGGUAGUCGGGCUUACGUUCCGCUAGAGUAAGACAUUGCCAGGC